UUUGGACCCAAUCUCAGCUAUAUAAAAGGAAAAUAGUCUCUAUCACCCUGUUCAUGGUCUUACCCUCCUUGAGGGCACCGUUACGAAGAGCUGUGUUCUACGGGAGCCGUGUUGUGGCCCAGAGCAACGGUAGCACAGGGUUUCCGCACCAGCUGGCGCACCUCUGCUGUGACUGUAUCCAGGGCAUCCCGUCUCCUUGCUUCUUCCUUAAUGAGGACAGACAUUGGCCAUAGAGUUCACUGAGCAGCAGGUGGCUGCUGACAGUAGCAGAGACUGAAAGCGGAACCAGGGAGUAGUGUAAAGUUUUUGGAAGAGUGAAUUGAGGAUUUUAGCUCUCUACAAGCAACAGCAGUAGCUAUGAAGCAGGGGGGAUGGUCCAGUCUUACUCCCCGCAGGUAGAAAUAUCAUCCAUGGCAACAUGUCCCCAAAACAUUUGAGGAGGGAACACUUUGUAACUAAUAGGAUAUCAAGGGAGCACCAGAAAUAACAUUGGUAAACUAUAUCUGCUGGAUUAACAUUUUAAACAAUGAAUGCCUAGGAGCAUCACACAGAGCGCGUUUUCCCAGAAAUGCACAUUGGGAUUUAAGGAGGAUCUGGCUGCAGUUAGCUAUCAUCCCAUUGAUCACCAUGCUUAAUUCAGCUGCUUUAGAUGACCGGGGAUGAUUCACUAUGAUAUCAAGUUCCCAACUGCCCACUCAUGUCCAAGCUGUCCAUCAAACUUCAAACUUUUCCGAAAAAGAAAAAUGUUCUCAAUUCAGAGCUUAGAACAGACAUCAUACAGACAAAUCCCAGGCACCAGGGAGGCACUUUUCAACGAUAGAAUUUGUCAGGUGGGUGCCUUUCAAUUCAGAGACUGGAGAGA